GCCCUUAGAAAGUUGUGUUUCUGGAUACAACCUUUCCGGCGCUCGGAUGGCCUAUUUAAUUAUACAACUGGACCUAUUUGUGCCUGGGAUACUGGACUGAGUAUUCCUGCCCUCCGGACAGGGCAUCUUGGUUGUUCGUUUAAUGGGAUCCGAAGAGCUUUAGCUGGCAGCUCAGGGAACUAAGGAAUAUAAUCUCACUGAGUAACUGCAAAGAGCUUCAAGUUUCCAGUCCCUAAAUGACCCGCUACUGGCAGGAAAAGGGUUGUUAGCAGAAGAAGAGCCUGCCACAUUAGCCCGUAAGUCACGAACUCUCAAGUUUCAGCAGCCCACUUUACACCAAAAACACAUCAGAAAUCUGAGAUCUGGUAGGAUAUGGCAUGAUUUUCUGAACCAAAACUUUUUUGGGUUUAUAUAGUAUGUAGAACUACUCCUGUUCUGGUCUGCUGGGAGAAAAAGUCAGCUCUUACAAACUAGUUCUGAAACCAUAUAAAUCUAAAGGUCUUGUAUCUCAAAAUAAUCCAUUUAAUAAUGUAUGGAAGUUCCAUGUCACUAUGAUUUAACUUCCCUGAUGAAGUAAAAGCAAUUUCAGGACAGAAAUCUAUUUCUGAGGCAGGCACAAGUGCAGAAAAGGUUUUGAAGCAGUGAGGUUUGGUGCAUAUUGGCUAUUCUGAAGUAAGUCAUACUUUUUGUCUUGGGCCAAAUAUAGUCCCAGUUAUAUUUCACUGUUAUCACUGGAAUCCUCCAGAGUCAGCUGGAACUCUAACUCAGUGCCUUUAAAUUAUGGACACUGCUCCUUUCAGUCAGUAGAUAUGAUAAAGCCUUUAUCAUAGCAUGUAUCGCACAAUUCUUACUCUUCCUUGCUCUUUAGAGCCCUGUUAGAUGAAGUCAUUUGCUCGAGCAUGAAGAAAUAAAAACAAUAAACAGACAGUGGGUUUGAUCAGAUUUCAACAGCAUUCAGUUGGUGGAACAAAAUCACGUGAAUGACUGUACGUACACGGAGGACCACCAACACAGACAGAAUCAACUACUUUGUUGUUCAUUCUGACCCCAAAGCUCUGUCAUUCGAGGUGCCAGUGCUCUACCUUUCAGAUGGCCAUUAAGGAGAACAGAUGUCCUGGGACUGACUCUGGCUAACACCUCAAACGUAGGGCUCAGCUGAGGUAUGUGCUGUUAGAAGAGAACUGCUGUUCCAUACAGUGGGAAGUAGCAGACAGGUUACUAUCUCUGGAAAAGGCUGGUCCAUCACAAGAUUUCUUGUAUGCUGUUCACCAGCUUCAAUUCUGUUUUACCCUUUUGCACACAGAGAUAAAGCUCCAACAAUAUUCAGUGGAAACCUUCACAAACUGCGCACAGCAUGUCUCUAGAAAUGCUACAAGUGCAUUCUCUGGAACUAAGUUUGACUCAGCCUACAUACCAGUGACACUUCCUAACAUUCAAAGGCCUGCAUUAAUGACAACCCUGGAGGGUGAUCGUACACACAGUGUCCGUACUCACAGUUUUCACAGCGACUCCCAGUAUAGCCAGCGAGACAGGCACAUUUGUAAGUACCACUUUUGUCAAGAAUGCAUGUUCCAUCGUGAAGACAUGGAGAUGAAGAACAAGCUAUAAGAGAGAAACAAGAACAUUCAUGAUGUCUCAAUAGCAUGAGGUUCUGUCUUUCCUUGUUACAUUAUGGCUGGGGGUAAAUUGCAUAUUCUGGUAAAAAGUGAGGAAGAUACAGUAAAUGGCCUAAUGCUUGUUAAAAAGCUUUUUUACACUCACUGAAGAGGAGAUCUGCUAUGGAUGGGAAGUUCUUUCCCCAGCAUUCUUAUUCUUAACAUUUUUCUCUGACUACUGUCCAAAUGUGAGAAAGGUUUAUGGAAGAAAAAUAAUUUACAUCGAGCUCCAGCAGUGUUUAGGCUUAGCCUAAUUUAAAGAAGUAUAACACCAACCUACACUUCUCCUGCCAUUCGUCUCAGAAUUAAAGGAUGAGUUCCAGGAUCCAUAAUAAUUCUGUACUAUUACAUUUGAAGCACUCUCUGUGCUGCAGUCCAGAAUGACAGAUAUCAGAAGUGGCAGUUUUCCUUGAAAAUACUUCAGUUGAAGCAUGAUGUUUGAGUUGUACCCAGAUGGCAAGUGACAAGAGAUAUAUAGAUGCCACAUUUGGAUUUCUCCAGAGGUUUCAUAUACAGAUGUAAGCGCAACUUGUGUCUGUGUGGCCAGUGAAUAUCUCCCAGUUCUCUCUGAGGAUUAAGGUCUAACUAAGGACAGUAAUUUGUUCCUGAAGAGGAAUAUGUAUAUCUGGCAAUUGUACUGUGUCCAACUAACCUAAAAAAUCUCUGAGAAGGGGCAGGAGAAGGAGGAGAGCUUGUACAAACUGAUAGCUGUAGUCACUGGUUUGAAGCCAGAGUACUUUCAGCUUUGUCCUCACCCCAGCUUUUUUUCAUAACUGUGAAUGAAGAUAAGCAUCAGAUACCACCCUGGAAAAUGCCUGAUACUCAAGAGGAACAGAUAUUUUUCUCUUUAAGAGUCCUGAUUGCCUAACUUCAAACACCAUGGGACAAUACUGCAAAACAUUAAGGCCCCUAUUUUGUGUCAAAGAUCACUACAUUAUGGGUACGGAAAGUAGAGUGCUAUUGAAAUUCAACAACAGGCUUUCAUCUAAACAGAUCCAACAUAUGUCUAAUCCCUAGGAGAUCCUGAUGCCUCCCCAUCUGGCCCUCCACCCUUCUCAUAUGAAGUCUGCUGAGUGUCUUCAUGUCACUCAUGCCAAUUACUGGCUUCCAUUUGACAGUUGGCAUGGGAUGAGUGACAGAGCUCAGGGACCUAACACCUGCUUCCAGAUCAGGCAGCGCAGCAGGCUGUACGGUCUCUUCCUUUAAGAACUACAUACUGAGCAACCUUUCUAAAGGGGAAUAUAGGCUUUGAACUUAUUCUGUAUUAAUCAAAAUCUUUCUGGCUGUUGAACCAGUGACCUCCGUGCAGCCAAUGUCACUGCUUCAGCAGGCUAUGACUUAUAAGUCAGCACAGAGCUCAGUGGAAGGGAAACAGAAAGGGAAGCACAAACCACCUUUCUACUCCUCUCCAUUACACCACUAAGCUGCUGGCAACACCUGGUCAGCUCCACAUCCUGAAAGUGUUGCUGCAGCUCCCACCUGCACCACAGGCUAUUGCUCUAGCAAACCCUGCGCAGCCUCCUCCUGAGACCUCAGCUUUCCACAAGGCUGUGCACAGAGGGGAAUCUCAGGGGAAACGCUUCACUUUGUAACGCGUUGCCAGAGCUUUCGAUCUUGUGCUGCCCUUGCUCUCAAUUCUGCACUGCCCCAUGCACGCUGUAUUCUUCCCCAAAACUGUCCUGCUGGCCAGGUUAAUGCUGCACACAAAGAGACGCUGGGAGUAUUUUAAAAGCCUUUCACUGCAGUUACACAUUAGGCCAGAACAGCCUCAUAAUAAAGCGUACAAUGAGACCUCCUCACAAACUCUAAGAAGCCCUUUGCAACAUGCUCUGUGUGGAUUACCACACUUGCAACCACCCAGCCUCAGAAUAAUUACCGCUAAAAAUGGGGCGGAAAUAAAGUGCUCAACAGUAUUCGAAUACCAAGUGUUCCCUGCUGGGUAGAGAAAACAGAAUCAAUUCAGCUUGUGCCAUAUGGAAAAUGUUAGUUUCCUGAGUGUAGGCAGCCCUUAUGCAACAUAGCCCACACCACAGUCGUUUGUUCUAUAUCACCUCUCCUGCUGUAAGCCCAGGCAAACUAUCAAUAGCUAAGUGCUGCAGCUACAUUACUAACGGGUAUACUAAAGGUAACAGCUGAAGAACGGGGCAGGCUCAGGAAUGCCGUAGGCACCGCAUGCAGCGGUAUGCACACUUCAGAUUGCUAGUUACAACCCCGAUCACUGGCAACAGCUGAUCCAUGGUAGGUUUGUAUAUUUAUAGAAGGAUUAUACAAACUAAAUAAACUUCCUGAGCCAGAUAUACUCUGGACAACAUCAUGAAAUGUGGGUCAUCGGGGUGUGCAGAAGGCAAGUUACGCUGAGUCAUAGAUCCUGCAGGGUUUUCCUAUGGCAAAGCAGCGCUUCCUGAUCAGUCUUCUGUGCCAGAAGCACUGGGGAUAUAUUUGACCAAAAUUCCCUUCAUAGCUAUACAAGGGAAAUCCAGAGUGAGCGUACAUAUGGGUUGAAAUGCAGUGGCAAAAUGAGGAGAAAGCUAUGCUUUCUGACUUAUUUAGCAGCCUGAAAAAAAAAAAAAAAAAUAGAGAGCAAUGCAGGGCACUGAAGCACUGAUGCUAACAAAAGCACUGGAAUUCCAGAGCCCCGCUUCUGUCAUUCAUAACACUAAGUUCAUCACAGAAUGGAAAAGGCCUCUAUUUUCUCUUUCUUGAAGAAAAGAAUCUGUUCUUUGUACACGCUUUAUUUGAAAAGCCCUAAUGGUAUGAUACAUGAGCCAACACCAGAGGCAUGUCAGGGCAUUUUCACUGAAGUAAUUGUCAAGCUUUGCAUCAGGUUUCUCCUAACUGAGACGGUCACUGCUGCUGCACACAGCGUUGAGCAAUUCCACAACUGCAAAGACAUACGUGCCCCUUUCUCUGUCUUCUGUGCUCUUCGUUCUCAGGUUCUCACAGAAAAUUCCCACAAAACAGCAGCUUUUCUGUGCUCAACAGCAUGCUUGCUCUUCACACAGGUAGAGGGAACUUACUCUUUGUUAGGAGAGCCUCACAUUCACAUGCUAUGUGAUGGCUUUUGAACCUUCCCUGCGCUGACUUUGUGUAAGCUGCUGUAGGCAACACAGCAUGAAAGUUUUUAAUGAAGCAAAACAGGGAGAGAGAUUAGUGAAACUGAAUUAAUGAGAAUGAGCGUUCCACUUUUUGGAUUAUCUUACCUGUAAUUUCUUCAAAGACAGCGUGAAAUCCAUCAAAGUUCUUGGAUCCAUCGGACUGGAAAAGGACAUGGAGUGAAGACCCGGUGCUUCGAAUGGGAGCUGGCCUUUCAUUCCCACAGAACUUCUUAAUUACUCGGCUGUCCAAAUUGUCCCCAUCACGUACCUCCACAUAAUCAUACUGGCACAUGUAAUCAAACUCCAGGCUCAGCAUGGAAAACCUUGAGGAAUAAGGACACACACACACUUAGGCCUCUUACUCUCCCCUGUGCACCCUGCCUGAUGUAUUUGGAAUUUUGGUUAUGCUACUGCCCCCACCUCUGUGAAUCAGCAGGUGCUGAUAACACGAAGGCCCUCUCACUCCAUCUCAGUUUUUGCAUCACGAUCCUUGGAAGCGACUUCACAGAGGUGCUCCAUGAAGGUUUUUAAGUGGCUGAACAGUGAGGUCUAAAUUGAGGUCAUACAGUCUGUUCACACACAUCAGGACCCUAACCAGUUCACAAUGUUAAAAAUUCCACCUACAGUCAGAUGCAGUAGGGGGUAUAUUUUUUUUCCUAGCUGUUUGCUAAAAAUUGUUCUCUUUCCCCUAAGUAGAGUCCUAGGUACUAAAAGUAAUGGUAUUAAAGACCAAGGAUCAAAAGCUGUUUACACUGAAAGCCAGCAAUUCUGGGGACAAUGAAAACUCAGAGACGUGACAGAAGAAGAAAGAGACAGAGAAAGGGAAUCUGAAACAGUACAGAACAUUAGAAAGCAAAAUGGUAGUAAACCCCUGAUGUCUUGCACUUGCCCUUCUUUUAAAGAUAGAAAUAAGGGACAGCAGAAGAGAAAUAUUUGAAGCUUUUUCCCACAACAUCUGUCUUUCCUAGCUUUGAUCCAGCCACUGCACAAGACUCUCGUUCAUUAACAGCAACGUUAUAUGCUGCUGUUUGAGUUCAGCAGGGCACAGAGCCAAAGCAUGCCACCAGAAUACGAAUGAGAAGCAGAGUAAGAAACACCAAGGGAUUCUGAAGAAAAAGCAAAGGCUUAGGGGUGCCUGGCCUAGGCCUGGUACAGAAGAAAAGAAUGAGAAGGUCUGGGCCUGGGAAAAGGCCAUGUUACUAACUGAAGAUCAUUUUAUAAAUGAAACUCCUAAUAUUCUCAGUCUUCUUGAGAACUCCUAAAUCCAUAUGCCGUAGUAUUUAGGUCAAACCUUCUCUGCUGCCUUUUCCAGUGGGGGCGUAGUGUUUUGGAAAGACUGUGUUUUCGCACCAAAUAGAUGAGCCAAAUUUUGGAUCUACUGCCAGAGAUCUCACAGUCUGAAGAGGCAAAAGAGUACUAGAGCCUAUUUCCUGCUCUUCUCUUUUGCAGACUCGGGCCAUAAGGAAGCUCCUGUGUUACAUGAAAUUACCUUUUACUGUCAACUCAUGAACUGACCUAAGAGUCUUUUUCACUCAGUCACCUUUGUUCAGACCAUGCAGUUGGUUUUAAAGCAUCAGGAGUACACUACACAAAGAGAAAUGGAUGAGCAGCUGUAGGAAGCUGUAUCAAUGGAGCAGAGCCCCUCAUUUUUUAAAUAAUCUGGUGGAGUAUAAAAUAAGAAAAAAAAAUGACACCUGCUUUUAAUAUUCAUAAGAGAUUUAUUCAACUUAGCUUUGCAUAAAAUGCAUGUGUUGGAAGGCUGAAUUCUAGUUCUGUCAGGCUUGCCAGAGACAUCUCCACUGGCAACAGGUUGUAUGCUAUGUCUUCAAAACAUCCUUUAGCUAGCAGGCCAAAUCCCAGAGACCUCCCCUUAUGGAAGUUACAAAGCAAUACAAAUUAACCAGUUUGUAGCAGAAAUGCUAAGUCAGGGCCUGAAGCAGUAAUUGAGCACCUGGUGGGAAGGCAGGGCCAACCCAGGGAGCUCAGGUGCAUGCAAUGCACUUGAGUGACUGGAAGAGGUGGAGCCAGGAUCCAUCCCUUCCCAGACUUCAUUUAAGGGUUGACAGGGGAGGUGAGGGUGUUUUGCUGAAGAUCCCUGCUUACCUGAGGCCUUUGUAAGCUUUUCUACAGAGAAUGUUUUAGGUCAGCCUGGAGCACUCCUGAGAAAGUACUGGAUGUUUUUGUGUCAAGGUGUUGAAGAGAUCUAGAGAGAUACGUUGUGCCCAGUAUCUGAGAAACUCUCCUCCACAUCCAGCUGUUCCAUAUGUGGGAACUGAAGGCAAAGCACUGAUGAUCUGUGCAGUGGCUGCCCAUCACAAGCUGGGCCAGGUGUAAGCUGAAGUUGUCAGAUGUGUAGUGGUGGUGCCCCAGGGCUCCCAGCUGCUGACUCUCAUUGACUCUGCUGUGAAUGCCUUAUUAUCUACCUGCAACCAGGACUGGCUGAAAGCCAUUAUGACCUACCUUAAUUCAAUGUUAAAUCCAGCUUGAACAUGGAUGGUCCAUUCGCAUCGUGCAUUCAGUGGGUAACUCUCCAGCAAAAUCUGACCUCUAGGAGCCCGAAAAACCUGUCCGCACCCUGGGAAGCAAAAGAAGGGAAAAAGGCUGUCUAAGGAACCUUCAAAUUACAGCUGAAGAAAAUACAAGUGGGAAUCACAUUGGAAUGAAAUGAUAGGGUGGUUUAGGAAGAUACUACUUUCUCACAAGGCAGUAACUAAAAUAAUAGAACAGCCACAGAAAGGUUAUAAGGAGUCAUGAUUCUACUAGAAGUACUGUCUACAUUAAGACUGACCCAAGAAAAGUUUUACUUUCUUGCUUCUCCCUGCUUUGCAAAGCAGCUCUAUGAUACUAUUUCUUACAGCAUUUGCCUCGUUCAGGUUUAGCCCAUCUCCAGCUCACGAAACUUUUGAUAGAUCUUAUGAUAACCUGCAUAAUCACUGGAGCUGAGGGAACUGGUGGGACAUUGCCAAAGGCAUAAUGAACACCUGAAUUAGUCCUUCACAAGGAGAUAUUUGGAGGAAAAAGUUGAUCUGUUCCUACAGGGUGUGUCCAUUUGCCUUCAGGGUUCACCACAUCGUCCUCACAUGUUGGAUGCCGGCAUACCAAUGGAUGCAUGAAAUCACCAGGACUUCACCUUGCUGUAGCUGGUACAGCCUGAACUCUCUGAAGGAAACAGGCUUGGCCAGCGAAGCAGGUGGUCCAGGGGCCAGAGAGGGAAGCAUUCAAUGACUUCCUCCAAAAGAACGUUCUCAGGUUUUCUACCAGCAUUCUCGGUACAGAGCACCUGUGACCAGAUCUGUGCUCCUGUAUCCCCAGCCCUUCUCCCAGAGGUUAAGGUGACUCCCCACACCAACAGUUCAAUCAUCUGUUGAUCAGGAGUCCUUCCUCUUCCCAUCCUGAAUUUGCGGGAGUCCUGGAAAGCUCUCAAGAAUAAUUUACAUCCUAAACACAAACGCUGGCAAAUGCUGCCUUAUUUACAAAAAAAAAAAAAAUAAUCCACUUUGGCAGGCUGUCAACAUCCUUGUUCCGUUCCUGUUCCUGAAAAAAGGCAGCUUUCAGGGCCGCAGUGAGAUUUCCUCUGAGGCUUGUUACUAACAGAAAACAAAACAACUCAAGAGACCUCCGAGUUCCUGCCCAUAACGACCCGUGGGUCUGAGGACGGAGAGGUCCUGAGGAGACCUCCAGUAAGAGCCCACUACCUGCUGUUCCAGUGCCACAGCAUCGGUGCGGGGCUCCCUCAAAGGUCAAGUGGGCGAAGUGGGGAGGGGCAGCAGAAAUGCCUCUGGUGUUCACAAACAGGCGGAUAUGGGAAGGUAGCUGCCACUGUCCCACCUGGUUGCUAUCUGAUGCUUACGGCUGGCUGGUGUUACAGGGGAUGUGUCAUGUGCAGAGUCUCUGAAACUGCAGUUACUGCUGUCACGGGGGCCGCAUUCAGACGGCAAGCAGAGGAAAGAUGUUGGGUAGCACUGCUUCCUUCUCUGCUCUAGUGGAGCACGUCUUCUGGAACGGUGUGAAAAUCUGAGCCUGAGUGCAUGGUGCAGAGGAAAGGGUCCAGCAGGAGGUUGGCUUUUUUCUCUGCUUUUAGACUCUGAUGUGUAUUUUAAGGGGUGACAGUGCAACCUAAUAAGCAGACCCACAAGGAAAUAUCCUGGUACCUGACUGCCUCCACUUACUGCACUGUUAUU